GACGAACGCUGGCGGCGUGCCUAACACAUGCAAGUCGAGCGGAGAAAGUUCUUCGGAACUUUCUUAGCGGCGGACGGGUGAGUAGCACGUGGGUAACCUGCCUUAUAGAGGGGGAUAGCCUUCCGAAAGGAAGAUUAAUACCGCAUAACAUUUUCGUUUCGCAUGAAAUGGAAAUCAAAGGAGCAAUCCGCUAUAAGAUGGACCCGCGGCGCAUUAGCUAGUUGGUGAGGUAAUGGCUCACCAAGGCGACGAUGCGUAGCCGACCUGAGAGGGUGAUCGGCCACAUUGGAACUGAGAUACGGUCCAGACUCCUACGGGAGGCAGCAGUGGGGAAUAUUGCACAAUGGGGGAAACCCUGAUGCAGCAACGCCGCGUGAGUGAUGAAGGCCUUCGGGUUGUAAAGCUCUGUCUUUGGGGACGAUAAUGACGGUACCCAAGGAGGAAGCCACGGCUAACUACGUGCCAGCAGCCGCGGUAAUACGUAGGUGGCAAGCGUUGUCCGGAUUUACUGGGCGUAAAGGGAGCGUAGGUGGAUAUUUAAGUGGGAUGUGAAAUACCUGAGCUUAACUUGGGUGCUGCAUUCCAAACUGGAUAUCUAGAGUGCAGGAGAGGAAAGUGGAAUUCCUAGUGUAGCGGUGAAAUGCGUAGAGAUUAGGAAGAACACCAGUGGCGAAGGCGACUUUCUGGACUGUAACUGACACUGAGGCUCGAAAGCGUGGGGAGCAAACAGGAUUAGAUACCCUGGUAGUCCACGCCGUAAACGAUGGAUACUAGGUGUGGGGGUUUCAACACCUCCGUGCCGCCGUUAACACAAUAAGUAUCCCGCCU
rnacentral:rRNA from 1 species